rnacentral:rRNA from 2 species
CAGCAGUAGGGAAUCUUCCGCAAUGGACGAAAGUCUGACGGAGCAACGCCGCGUGAGUGAUGAAGGUCUUCGGAUUGUAAAGUUCUGUUGUUGGGGAAGAACGAUGCCUUUGAAAAUAUUGGGUGCCCAUGACGGUACCCAAGGAGGAAGCCACGGCUAACUACGUGCCAGCAGCCGCGGUAAUACGUAGGGGGCAAGCGUUGUCCGGAAUUAUUGGGCGUAAAGGGCGCGCAGGCGGAUUGUUAAGUCCGGCGUGAAAGACCACGGCUCAACCGUGAAAGUGCAUUGGAAACUGGUUAWCUUGAGGACAGGAGAGGAAAGCGGAAUUCCUAGUGUAGCGGUGAAAUGCGUAGAUAUGAGGAGGAACACCAGUGGCGAAGGCGACUUUCUGGUCUGUAACUGACGCUGAGGCGCGAAAGCGUGGGGAGCAAACAGGAUUAGAUACCCUG